AACGAACACUUGGGGUUAUCCAUUUUUGUUGGUUCCCAUACACCAUCCUCUUCAUCGUCCCAAUCUUCUGGCUUUGUAGCUUCAGGGUCAUCAAUCUCUUCAGGCUCAUCAUCCAACCACCCUUCAGGUUUUACAGCAUCCUCAUCUUCGAUUUCCAUUGGUGCAUCCUCAUCCCAAUCAUCUGGCUUCACAGCAUGUGGAUCUGGAAUCUUUGCCCGCUCAUCCCAGUCCUCUGGCUUCUUAUCAUCUGGGUCAGGAAUUGUCUUGGCCGGAAUUAAGGCAGGCUCGAAAUCAUUAGCUGAAAGGAAAUUUGCCUUCUUCUUCUCCUCCCCAUCUAUUAUAAUUCUAACUUCAUUGUUAGGUUUCAGUAUUGCAGUGUAGACAUGAGAGAGUUUGUCAGAGGGCACAGAUGGAGGGUCCUUGAGAUGGUGCUCAACAUACUCUCCACUCUUGGGGUUCUUGUGCUUAAAGAUGAAAUGAACCUUGUUUGUGGAGCCACAUUUGUCAGGUCCAAACAUAAUGGAGUAGGGAGAAUCGUUGUCAAAUUCCUUUGGUUUCCAUCCAGCCUCCUGGGGCCGGAGGUAUUUCAAGUAAGCACCGCCACAUUCAAGCCCAUUCUGGAACCUAACCUCAAACUGCAGGACAAUGGUUCCAUACUUAAGGCUCACAGCCUUACCCAGGUCUUUCACUACAGCAUACUUCCUCGCCUUCUCACUGACCAAAAGACCAUAAUCA
rnacentral:lncRNA from 1 species